rnacentral:rRNA from 1 species
UUGAACGCUGGCGGCAGGCCUAACACAUGCAAGUCGAGCGGUAGCACAGAGAGCUUGCUCUCGGGUGACGAGCGGCGGACGGGUGAGUAAUGUCUGGGAAACUGCCUGAUGGAGGGGGAUAACUACUGGAAACGGUAGCUAAUACCGCAUAAUGUCGCAAGACCAAAGUGGGGGACCUUCGGGCCUCAUGCCAUCAGAUGUGCCCAGAUGGGAUUAGCUAGUAGGUGGGGUAACGGCUCACCUAGGCGACGAUCCCUAGCUGGUCUGAGAGGAUGACCAGCCACACUGGAACUGAGACACGGUCCAGACUCCUACGGGAGGCAGCAGUGGGGAAUAUUGCACAAUGGGCGCAAGCCUGAUGCAGCCAUGCCGCGUGUGUGAAGAAGGCCUUCGGGUUGUAAAGCACUUUCAGCGGGGAGGAAGGCGUUAAGGUUAAUAACCUUGGCGAUUGACGUUACCCGCAGAAGAAGCACCGGCUAACUCCGUGCCAGCAGCCGCGGUAAUACGGAGGGUGCAAGCGUUAAUCGGAAUUACUGGGCGUAAAGCGCACGCAGGCGGUCUGUCAAGUCGGAUGUGAAAUCCCCGGGCUCAACCUGGGAACUGCAUUCGAAACUGGCAGGCUAGAGUCUUGUAGAGGGGGGUAGAAUUCCAGGUGUAGCGGUGAAAUGCGUAGAGAUCUGGAGGAAUACCGGUGGCGAAGGCGGCCCCCUGGACAAAGACUGACGCUCAGGUGCGAAAGCGUGGGGAGCAAACAGGAUUAGAUACCCUGGUAGUCCACGCCGGAAACGAUGUCAAUUUGGAGGUUGUGCCCUUGAGGCGUGGCUUCCGGAGCUAACGCGUUAAAUCGACCGCCUGGGGAGUACGGCCGCAAGGUUAAAACUCAAAUGAAUUGACGGGGGCCCGCACAAGCGGUGGAGCAUGUGGUUUAAUUCGAUGCAACGCGAAGAACCUUACCUGGUCUUGACAUCCACAGAACUUUCCAGAGAUGGAUUGGUGCCUUCGGGAACUGUGAGACAGGUGCUGCAUGGCUGUCGUCAGCUCGUGUUGUGAAAUGUUGGGUUAAGUCCCGCAACGAGCGCAACCCUUAUCCUUUGUUGCCAGCGGUCCGGCCGGGAACUCAAAGGAGACUGCCAGUGAUAAACUGGAGGAAGGUGGGGAUGACGUCAAGUCAUCAUGGCCCUUACGACCAGGGCUACACACGUGCUACAAUGGCAUAUACAAAGAGAAGCGACCUCGCGAGAGCAAGCGGACCUCAUAAAGUAUGUCGUAGUCCGGAUUGGAGUCUGCAACUCGACUCCAUGAAGUCGGAAUCGCUAGUAAUCGUAGAUCAGAAUGCUACGGUGAAUACGUUCCCGGGCCUUGUACACACCGCCCGUCACACCAUGGGAGUGGGUUGCAAAAGAAGUAGGUAGCUUAACCUUCGGGAGGGCGCUUACCACUUUGUGAUUCAUGACUGGGGUG